ensembl:lncRNA
GGCGCCUGGUGGCUCAGUUGGUUAGGUGACCGACUUCAGCUCAGGUCAUGAUCUCACAGUUUGUGAGUUCGAGCCCCGUGUCAGACUCUGUGCUGACAGCUCAGAGCCUGGAGCCUGCUUCAAAUUCUGUGUCUCCCUCUCUCUCUCCUCCUCCCCUACUCAUGCUCUGUCUCUGUCUCUCUCCUUCAAAAAUAAAUAAAAACAUUAAAAAAAUUAAAUAUAUAUAUAUAUAUAUAUAUAUAUAUAAUUUUAACAAAAAGGGUAAAACAACAGGACAACAUGCCCUUUUAAGUUGUUUUACUUAAACCUUAGUUGGAAUUACCAAUUCCUUGUAAUACACAAGGCCAAGCAAUUGUAAAAUGAGCAUAUAUUACACUCAAAAACACAUUAAAAAAACAAAAAGGGGGAGAUACCCCUGGCUGUCUGCAUUACAACCUCAGCUCCUUCUUAAUCGUGCUAGGAUUACUCUUCAUUUUUUAAAUCUUAAUCCUCAAGGACUAACUGCAGCUGAGUGACAUUCUUCAAAAUCAGAUAAACCCUCUCACCCUGUGGUGCUAUGCAAAACCCCCCAAGGGGGGCCCAACCGGACUGGGCCCACUCAACUUUCCACCUGGUGUUGAGGAUAUGCUUGUGUCUUUUCAGAUUCUGGACUUCUGUGUAUUCCCUCCCAUUUGGUGAAGCCUUACCAUGGCAUAAUGGAGACCCCCCAGGUAAUCUUCCAAUGAACCAGAACUUCCAGAGAAUGACUCUGAGUUUGUCUGGACAGAGAAGAUUGUCAUAUAAUGGCUCCGAUUAUUUUAACUCAAUUUUACUAAAUGCUCCAGUAUUAAUCGUUUCUUUUCAGCCUUUAAUUGAUAUAUCAUUUAUGUUAGAAGCUAUUAAGAAAAUGUAUAAAAGAUGUAUUAACCAGAAUAACAGAGAUCUUUCCUCUCCUGCCCAUUCUUAUUCAUGGUGCAAAGACAGCUUCCCCCAUUACCUUGAAAGACUCCACCUCCCCCAUUUUAUUAUUUUUCAUAAUACUUAUCACCAUCUGCCAUACCAUGUGUGUGUAUGGGGAAGCAUAAUUCUAUGAUGAUCCCCUCGUGAAUCCCAUCCACGUAUAAUGCCCUACUUUUGAAUCCAGGCAGGACCUGUGAGUUGCUUCUAGAUAAGAAUAUGGCAAAAGUACAGCGAUGCCACUCCCUUGCUUAGGUUCCGUUGGGUAAGACUCCUUCUUAGCAAAUUGAAGCAAGAAAUUCUCCUGAUGGCCUUCAAGAAGGAAACCACCAGGUGUGAAAGAAUCACAUGGCAAGGAAUGAUGGGGGACUCUAGAAGCUGAGAAUGGUCCCUGCUGACAGCCAGCAAAAAGGUAGUCCUAUAGCUUCAAGCAACUGACCACAACUGCCAACAACCACGUGAUCUUGAAAGAGAACGCCAAGCUCCAGAAAGAACCUCAGCACAGCCAAUACCUUCACUGCAACCUUGCAGAAGGGCCAGCUAAGCUGUGCCAGGACUCCUGCCUGUGGACACUGUGAGAUAGUAACUGCAUGUUGUGAACUGCUGAUUUUGUGGUAACUUGUUACCCAGCAAUACAGAAUGUGCUGUAUAUUUAUCUGUAUAUGUAUUGUCUGCCCCUGCACCCUCCCAACACAUUCAUUAGCUUGUAAGCACCAUGAGAAAAGGAUUUUUUUUUUGCCUGCUUUUGAAACUACUUUAUCUCCAGUGGCUAAGAAGAUUACUCAGCACUUAGUAGGCUUUCCCUAAAUAAAUGUUAAAUGAAUUAAGUGAAAUGAAAAUAU